rnacentral:lncRNA from 1 species
UUGGAGAUUCUGCGGGGGAAAGUCCCCCUACAUGGAACAAGCUGGGGUGGUUUCUCAAAAGAGCCACCAAGUGGAAAACAGGCUUUUGAAGUUGGCUGAACAUGCUGUAAUUAUGAAUCCAACCUUUAUUAGUACUUCAGAAAUGAGUUUUGUUACUUUAUUGAACUACUGUGCCAUUGAUUCUUAGUGUUUAUCCUCGUGAAUACAAAUUGCUCACUGUGUAUGGCAGCUUUACUUUUAAUCUCAGUGCAGGGGAGUGUAGCAAUGUGGUUGAUCAAACACAAAAGGCUAAAAAUUAAGAAUUUUUUGAGAUUUUUGAUUUACAAAAUUAUUUAAAUGUUCUUCUUUGUAAUUGAGAGGCUCUGUUGCUGCCUAAUGAAAUUACAUUGCUGCCUAAUCACAUUACAAAUCUGCAUGCAAAAAAAUAUUUGUACACAAGGUGGUGAUGUUAGCAACCAACUAUUUUUAUUCUUAACAACUCACAGUAAAUAACAACAUAUUGUUUUAUGUCUGAGACCUCCUAAGCUAACUUUGGAUGUUCAUAUAAAAACUCAGAUCAGAGAUAUCAGCAAGAAAAACUGUGAACUGAAGGUCUUCCUAAUAAACACAGAUAUCAAUGAAAAUAGGUGUUGAGCUUUAAAAAUAUCUUCAUAUCUUCCAGGGUUUCUCAUUUUCCUCUGACAUAAUUGUACCACGAGAAUCAUAGAAAAAACUUCAAAUACAAUGGUGGAAAGCGCAAGGUGUAUCAAAAAGGGACUGCAGUUAAAAGCUAGGGCUAGGAUUUGGAGGAUGUGUAGGCAAACGGAAGGAGAGCCGGGGGAAGAAAAACCGAAAUGGAUUCAUUCUCUGUCCUGGAUGGAGGAGGAGAAGAGAAGAGAAGAGAAGGGGAUGUGAAAGCUUCCUUCAACUGCCUGUCCGGUGAAAAGUGAUCAAACCCCCGGGGCUGAAGAGAACUCAAGAGUCCACGCGGACUUUCGCUUUAUCCUGCCAAUCAAACUGCUUACUAGACAACACCCUGAUCUGGCAUGGACAUGUAAGUAGCUGCAACAGAACUUUGACAUUCACGGUUCUUCCCCUCUCCCACCCCCCCGCUUCCCUGAGACCUUUUAAAAUCUGGAAAUAUACCCCCAUUUACCAAUGGCAAAUCUGAGGAUGAAACAUUACAUGUUGGGAAUGGCUUGUGGACGUCUGAGUUUUGCUCAAGUGAAAUUGUGC